rnacentral:lncRNA from 1 species
CGCUAUGGAGAAGCAUCACGCUUUGAAGUGCUCCAGGUGAUCCACAGGAUUGGUGAUCCCAUCGUAGCUCUUCAGCUAUGGCAUUUUGAAGUGACUGAGGAGAGGUUCUUAUAUAAUCUGGGUGCUAAAUAGUGGAUGGGUAUGUAGCCAUUGUCUCACGGUGGAGCCUGAUUGCAAAGGGCUUCAAUCCAUUGAUUCAUCUCCUAAAAUUUAUAGUAAAUUUUUGCAUCUCGAACAGUACAGGCUUCAAAAUAAGGCAAGUG